UACGUAGGGUGCGAGCGUUAAUCGGAAUUACUGGGCGUAAAGCGUGCGCAGGCGGUUGGGUAAGUCUGAUGUGAAAGCCCCGGGCUCAACUUGGGAACUGCAUUGGAAACUGGCCAGCUGGAGUGUGGCAGAGGGGGGUGGAAUUCCGCGCGUAGCAGUGAAAUGCGUAGAUAUGCGGAGGAACACCGAUGGCGAAGGCAAUCCCCUGGGCCUGCACUGACGCUCAUGCACGAAAGCGUGGGGAGCAAACAGG
rnacentral:rRNA from 1 species